GAUGGUGUUCAUGUCUCAAAAUUAAGCUAAAGAACACCAAUAAUGUUUCUACCUAGAAAUAAGAUGAGAAAGUAACAGCUUAAUGAUCGAAAAGCUUAACUGAAAGCUAUACACGUUCUCUCCUAGCAAGUAUAUACAUGUAAUUAAUGGUCAAAUCUGCCAUUGUUCAGAUAUAACAUAUAUGCAGCUAUAUAUACAUGUUUUCUCAAGGCAUUUAUACAUGUAUUGGUCAAAUAAAUAAUAUGUUAUUCAGAGAGUAAAUAUUAAGUGUAACCUUGUAGCCAUCUUUGAGUUGCUCACCAUUAGCAAGGAAAGUGGAAGGUCUUUUUGCUUAGAGUUUGGCCAGUAGCAGUGGAGGAACUUCUUCUGUUGAAUAUCUGCUAUGUCUGAAUGGGGGCUGAUAUGCCUGUCCUAUAAGAUAAUCUCCUUGUACGGGACACAACCCUUAUAGAUAAUCUCCAUGUACAGUCCUAUAGAUGGAACAAAUUCGGCAGAAUAUAAGUGAAAGCAGUUUAAUGUAGACGGGAACUUCAUGUUGCUUUUUCUUCCGCCUGCAAUAAAACAAAUUAACAGAAUCAAAACGAAUUUAAUGCACACACGUGAAGAUGCAUAUCUAUAUUUUCUUCUCUUGUUCUUUAAAAUCAGAUAGCCAUAUAUUUCUUUAGAAUCAGACUAAACUCUAUGUACUAUUACACGCAAGUCCAGGGCAAUGGAAAACAUAGACCUGAUGCGCUGCAGAAACACUUUGACAUCCUCCUUCAUGAUUUUGAACACAUAGACCUGGUCUUUGUUUUCAGAAAUGAGCUGCUAGACAGGUGACCAAUCUCUAGUUGUCUAUAGCCCAACCUGAUGAAAAACGAGAAAACAAAUUAGAUGAUCUCAAACGAACGGACCCAUUGCAACAUCUAACUGCACUACCUUGCCAUGGAGGCCGGCGCAUGUACCUGUUUCUAGCAGGUCGGCACAAAAGAAGAUCAUGGAUGGCCGCCGCUGCUGCUACGCAAACAACAUGUGGUCAUCGUGGUAGAUGUUGGAGGGGGCCAAUGGAUAGAGAGGACCAGGACGUCGUGCUUGAGUGAUUCGACGGGAGGAAGGCGUGGUAAUCGUCGUGCUGGUUGUCCUCCAUGCCCUCGCCCUCCGACGAGUAGUGAAUGCCCGUCUCCCUCCACCGCCACCUCCACCUCCAUCUCCUUAUAUGUAUGCCGACGACUUCCCCGACCUACGGCUCGCCAUCGGAUCCUCGGGUAUUGCAGGGAACCUCCAGCACCCACCAACGCAUACAUAUUCCUCCUACAAUGUGCCCGUGUAUUGCAAUGGGAAAAACAAUCGUAAAACAAUUCAUGGAUGGGCAGUGGACAUGAUGAACUUGUACUACUUGCGCUGCAUCAUCAAUCAAUUUGCACUAUCAUUAAAAAAGUGUCACAACCUUUGGCAUCAGCAGCGGCGUAGCAUUAAUCAUUCUUGCCGAAAUCAUGGAAUUUGAAAUGGAUUUGAUUUCCACAACAUGAAAUUAAAAUUCAACUGAAGAGAGUUAUGUUUUCUUGGUGUAUACAUUUCAGCUGUGUCCCCAUAAUCAAAAUAUACUACAAACUUUCAGUCAAAUAACAUUGUUUCAUUGUUUAAAUAAAACCAUUUCAAAGUUGUGCCUCUCUGUGGGUUCUGAGCCAUGCUCUUACGUAUUUUUGUGCAACUACGCGAUGAUAGUAGAAAAUGAAAAACAUGCCAAACUUGGGUCAGAAGAGUGCAAGAAGGCACCUGCCAAUAGCAGUGGACCAUUUACUGUCGAUGAAAUCUGGAGCGGGUACACUUAACACAGUCUGCAUUGCAGACUUCCCUCAUCAAAUCCAUUUCAACUCCUGAAGUGAUAACCAGAAAUAUUAAUAUAAAUAAUUAAAAUGCGGACAGAGGACAUAUUAUGCGUCAAUCAUGAACAGUUUGUUGCCAGAAGAUCAUGUAUUGUUGUACUCAAGGCAUGCUAGGUCUCCCAUUGAAGAAUGUAGCUAUCAAUUGCCACUGAGAACUACAAGUAUCCUGUAGUUGUGCAUGGUAAGCUUCUUGAAAAGAAUAACUCAAUGCAAGCUUGUUACUGAGAUGGAUUAUGCAAAACUCACCUCUAUCCAUGUUAUGUGAGAGAAAUUCUAGCAUAACUUGUGUUACUUCCGCUGCAUCAUCAAUGAAUUUGCACUAUCCUAAGAAAUUAUAUGUAUCACAGUCUUUGGCAUGAACCACGCUGAACUACAAUGCUCUUAUCCUCUCUACUCUCUGUUUAAUACUUAUCUCUUUUUUCUUAUCUAAAUUGAAAAAUAAAUGUCACCAUGGUGAUAAACAUUUAUGCUAGAGCCACAAAAUUUAAUACCUAUAUCUUUCUGUCUAUCUACAAUGCAAUAUUACGAAAGGCAUAACUUCAAAAAUUAAACAACGAUAAUUCAGUAAACACAUCAUUUGUCUAAAUAUAAUGAUGUUCAAAGUUAAAAUAUAGGGACGAAAGUCCUGCCUGAAGAACCGUCAUCACAAGUUCAGCAAACAUACCACACACUAUAACUUUCUGAAAAUAUACAGUCUCUAGCCCAUUAAGCAUAUUUUAACAGAAAGUAAUGGAAGCACUAACAAAACUAAUUAAAAAAAGGUAAGAUUGGGAUCGAAAGGGUGUAGCUUACGAAGAUCAUUCCUUUUUCUUGACUACAGUGUGGUCCUAAACUUCUGAUCAUCACGGCUGCAGUACAGACAACAGAGAAGAUUAGACUUGAUUAGAUUUUGAACUGAUUUUCAGUAAUCUUCCUGUGUCGUAGGGUACCAUGUUCCCUUGAAACUAAUAUCAACAAAAUAAUUUUCUUACUCAGUCUUGAGGAACAUAAUAAAGAUACACAUAGGGAAUUAAUAUAGAGUAAUCCAAAAGAAGAACUAAUCAAUUGAAAGGUAUCCAGAUCGUAUGAGGAAUGAAACAACACCUUCAUUAACAUGUCAUACCAGGAUGAACCAAGCUAACAAUAGUCAAAUAAAUAGAGGAGCAGGCAUACCCGAACUCCACUGCGGAAAGAGUGGUUGAUUACUUUUCAUGCUUAUUCCCCAAUAGGUAUUUUUAUCAGAUGGAUCAAAUGAACUCUAUCCAUAACCCGCCAUUCUUGGUAUGGUUUGUGGCACAGGAUGGUGGCGUCGCACUCCUGCAAUUGACAUGUGGUUAAAGUAUGACCAGCAGCUACAUUCACCUCAACAUAACUCAGAAGAAAAAUUCCCACAAAAUAAAAUUCAAAAGGCAGGUAAUAAUUGAUAGAAACCUAGAUCAAACAGAGUAAGAAAUACCUUAGAUUAAGCAUUCAUAAUUUGAUUUUGCAGUAAAAAUCAUAAUUUGGUCAGAAAAUAAAAUACCUAAGACUCUGCUGUAUGGGAUUUAAUAAUAUGGCAUGCAUUGUAUCCUAAAUUCAGCACCAAAGGAUAUGUUCUUAGAUUUUAAAUCACCACAAUCAUGUGAAAAGAAAUAAUCAUCGCUAUCUAUUUUCAUUAGGCAUUACCCCAAACACAAGGUGAGCAAGUCCAACAGGUAGAUGGAGGGAUGGCUGGAAUGGGGCAGAGGAGAAAAGGGCAUGUUGCAAAAGUUUGUUCUGUCGGGCGGGGAGGAGCAAUGCUUGCAGCUAGCUAUCUAUUUUAUACUCGAUAUGUCAUUGACAACCAAGUGAAGCUGCUGCAACUUGUAAGGUGCACGCAUGGUGGGUGUCUUGCCAUGGUUGCAGCAAUGCUAAUCUUUCCCUAUGUCGCGGUCCAUACUGGGGAAACAAAUAACCUGCAUACUAAUUGUGAACAUACUCAGAAAAUGCAUGCAAGGACUGAAUAUAUGGAAGUAAAAAAUUGUCGACCUUGCGCCACUGCUACUGCAUCAUUGCAACAAUAAGAAUUUACACCCACAUCUUGUAGAAAGAAAUCUGCACACAACAUUAGCUACCAAAAUUAAGUACCUUUAGCGGUCAUCUCUCACAUAGAAUUUUAUCCCGUUUUCAGCUUUUCUGCACAAUCAU
rnacentral:lncRNA from 1 species